rnacentral:rRNA from 1 species
CAAUAGCGUAUAUUAAAGUUGUUGCAGUUAAAAAGCUCGUAGUUGAAUUUUUGCUUGCCGCCGAUGUCGGAACUUCCGUACGUUCGGCGGCGUGCAUCCUUGGGUGGAACCUGUGUGGCAUUAGGUUGUCGUGCAGGGGAUGCUCAUCGUUUACUGUGAAAAAAUUAGAGUGUUCAAAGCAGGCUUACGCCGUUGAAUAUAUUAGCAUGGAAUAAUAAGAUAGGACCUUGGUACUAUUUUGUUGGUUUGCGCACCGAGGUAAUGAUUAACAGGGACAGUUGGGGGUAUUCGUAUUCCAUUGUCAGAGGUGAGAUUCUUGGAUUUCUGGAAGACGAACUACUGCGAAAGCAUUUACCAAGGAUGUUUUCAUUAA